rnacentral:rRNA from 1 species
GAUGAACGCUGGCGGCGUGCCUAAUACAUGCAAGUCGAGCGAACGGACGAGAAGCUUGCUUCUCUGAUGUUAGCGGCGGACGGGUGAGUAACACGUGGAUAACCUACCUAUAAGACUGGGAUAACUUCGGGAAACCGGAGCUAAUACCGGAUAAUAUUUUGAACCGCAUGGUUCAAAAGUGAAAGACGGUCUUGCUGUCACUUAUAGAUGGAUCCGCGCUGCAUUAGCUAGUUGGUAAGGUAACGGCUUACCAAGGCAACGAUGCAUAGCCGACCUGAGAGGGUGAUCGGCCACACUGGAACUGAGACACGGUCCAG